rnacentral:lncRNA from 1 species
GCUCAUUUGAAAUGGAGUUUUGCACUUUUUGGCCCAAAAGGAUAUUGGGUUAAAUCUUGGGUCCGAGUUUGUUUUCUUUUGAAUUAACAAAAAAGCCUCUGUCCUUCGGAUGGACCCACGACCCGGCGUUCCAAAAUCGAGUGUAAGAUCCCCAAAUAUUUUUCGUUUCUUUUAAUUUCUUUUCCCACACUUUCUCGGCAGCCAAACAGGCCGGUAGGGUUUCCAUUUCUUGUUUCAUUCUGAAUUAUUUGCCCUUUAUUUUUUCUGAUCUAGCUAAAUUAAAUUAUUCAAAAUUUCAAAUCCUAAAUCGCAUUCAAUUUCCUUUUUGUUUCUCUUUUCUAUUGUAGAAAUUGAACUUUUCUGGUUGUGUGCAUCGAGAUCGAAGAGAAAUCCAACAUGGGGUUUUUGGUAACGACCUUAAUUUUCCUUGUGAUUGGGAUCAUUGCUUCUCUGUGUACCAGAAUUUGCUGCAACCGAGGACCUUCUACUAAUUUGUACGUUUCCCCAUUAUCCAAUUUCACUGUUUUCUUUCUCAUUUCUUCUUUUAUUGUUUUUGGUUGUAGCUCUUAAAUAUGUUGGGUCUUUUUCUUUAUGUACAAUAUGUGUUUAGCUGCUGAAUUUGUUAAUUUUAAGAUCACACUAGUCUUACAAUUUAAGAAAUAUUUGGUAUUGGGGAGCUUAGGAUUUGAUUCAUGUCAAUGUGCUUAGAUGUUGUUCAAUCAUACAUAUGAUUAGGGAUUUCGCUAUUGAAUUAGUUGCAGUAUUAGGGGACGCGUUUAUGCUUUGUUACAAGUUAAUUGGUUGAAUAACUGCUCAUUUAUGCUUAUAUAUGACUUUGGAGAAUUAUGCACUUCUUGUAAUGUAAAGAGCUUUUUUAUACUGGGGAACUUGUGUGGAAACUGGGUGAAUUUGGUUAGUUGGUUCGUUUGCUCUAUGUUACAAUUAAAUGGUUUAUCUGUGUGUACUAAGACUCUCGAUUGUAGAUUCCAACCCAUUCAUGUGUAGAUGUAACUCGAAACCUUCAUUCCACCUGGGGCCAUCUAUAAGCCACUGGCGCAGGGGCUUUCAAGGCCCUUGGCCUCGAAUUGUUCAAUUCUUAGUUCUUUGUUAAGACAUUUUGUUUUGUUGAAUAUGAUUGAAUUUAUAAAAAUACGUAGUCUUAUUUUGUUUUGUGAAAAUAAAAAAUUCAGCUUAAUAUAUUUGCUUUCACAGUUUCUAGUUGAUCUUGUAUGUUAUGUCUGCUUACGAAUGUGACAAUUCAGAAUAUCAGUUCGUGAAAGUUUAUUGUUCAGCGUCUAAGAGUGGUUUGAGAAAAUAUGUGGUUUGAUUUGGUUAUUUUGUCUUGAACGUAUUGAUACUUUUCUCCUUGUUAAUACUUCUUUUUGCUUCCUUAUUUAUCUAAACUCAUGCUUUUCUUGUGCAAAAUACUGACCUUUAUAUUUUUAUGCAGGUUCCAUCUAACAUUGGUUAUUACAGCAACAAUCUGCUGCUGGAUGAUGUAAGUUUUUGUGCAAGAUGUAUAUUUUAUCUCUUUUUUCUUUCAUCGGUAUUAAGAAGGUUUUUCAUUAAUCAAUAGGUAGUGGAACAUAAAUUUGUGCCAAACGUCCUAUAUAAAUUUGUAGUUGUGCAUCUUAACGUCCUAUAUAAAUUUGUAGUUGUGCAUCUUUGGACUAUAUUUUUGCUGUCUUGCAUCUACGCUGUGCUUUAUACAUCCCUGUUUGAGUGCAAGAAAAGGGCGUAUGGCCCGAAACAAGCAGUUAUGCUCAAUUAUUGGAUUAUUUCCAUUUUGUUCUCACCCUUAAUAUUUAACGAAGCCUUUGGAAAAACAAUGUGUAUGUUAUAUGCUUCACAUUGAAAAUCCUCCUCCUCGGAGGCCUAUAGAGCUUAGCCCAUAUAGUCAUUUGACUCAUUGCAACAGCCAAUCCACCCCCAGCAGUGACAUUGUGUCACAUCAUGGUGGAGGACUUGUUCCAAGUUCCAAGGGGUAGAGAAAGGAAAAAACUGAAUCUUCUUGUUUCAAGUGACAUGAAAUAAAAAACCCCAUGCCUUCCUUGAUCCGUUAGACUGCAUGAAUGUGGUGGCGGCAGUCAUGUUGUUACAGUGAUAGCUUAGGAAGAGUUUGUCAUUGUGCUUGAUAGUGCUAUUGCCUAUGAGGUUAACUUUCUUUCUUUCCUCUCCUGCCUUGAUAUGAAGAUGUAAAGACUCAAUUGGGGCCUGUUGAGUUUAUGUAUUUUCUUAUUUUGUUUAAUCUGUUACUAUGUGGUAUUGAUGAGUGUUUUUAAUCAUUAUUAAUCUUUGAUACAAUUUCUUAGUGUAAUGUCCUUUUCUUUUCACCCUUAAUCUUCCUGACAUCAUUUUAUUCUUUGGCGUUGUUAGGUGGGCAAUUGUAUAUCUUGCACAAAUGAAACCACUCAUAGUUCCUAUUCUAAAUGAAGGAGAGUGAAGUUCUGUUUCGAAAAGCAUAGAUUGCCAUAUUGGUUACGUGCCAAUCGGAUUAUGGAUUAUCUUCAGAGAACAGCAAGUUUUAGUCCAAUUGAUUAUUUAGCAUCUUCUGGUGUUGGAUUUGUAUGUAAAUGUUGGAGUGUCAACUUUGAAAUUGUUUGGCAUUGUUGCCCUACAUCACCUGCUAUUAAAUGUUAUAUGUACCCUCAUUCAUUUAGAAUUCACUGUCAGACAGUAUGAAAAGUAUAAAUGUGAUUGGAAUGGAAUAAGUUAUAGAGAUCGAAUGAGCUGACAAGUUUGAUUUA